GGAAACUGAAAGCAAUGCUGGUGGUUGAAGAUUUUCUCAUAUAAUUUUUGACUUUUAUAUGAAACUCGUUUUAUUUAAGUCGAAAGGGUCUUCCAGACUUUGGCUAAUCGUCGAGUUUUAGUUUGAUAUUGGUACCUGUUUUCUAAACGCAUGAUCGCGAUAAGAGUUUCUGUAUAGUCCUCGAUAUUAUGUUCGUGAUGUUUUAGAUAUGUUGUUGGCGUUUAGACAAAUCUUAGAUUGUCGUUUGCCUAUUGGAACGAUUUUAUUGAGGCAUCUGAUUGCUAAGGGUUUUCUGCCUAUCGCUGCGAGAAUUUACUUUGUCAAAAGCAUUUUUUUAUGCCGAGGCAAAAAGGUUUUUGA
rnacentral:lncRNA from 1 species